GUGUGGAGACUUCCAGUGGUGAUAUGUCACAUACGAGGCAGUGUUUGUGCAAAUGUUAAUGGAGUGAAUAUAGUGUGCAUGCCAUUAUCAGCUAAAUGUGUUUGACUUGUCAUUCAUUCACUUCUACUCCCUCUACCUCAAUGAAAGUAACAAAAGGCGGGGUGCAACAGCUGGGUGUAAAGCAGUCAAAGGAAUAUGGAAGAUCAGGACCUGAGCCACUAAUUAUCUUUUGAGCUCCUCCACCUGUAUUGGUCUUCAGGCCUGGGCCUUGGUCUUAAAUUCACCCCUCACAUUUUCAAUGAGAUUCGAGUCAGGGCUUUGUGCAGGCCAUUCAGUAAUGGUCAUUUAAGUCUU